rnacentral:piRNA from 1 species
UACAAUAAUAGAAGAACAUGG